rnacentral:rRNA from 1 species
GAGCGUCAGCGUCGGUUGGCGUCGGGCGACAAGGAUGCGAGGAAGGUGAGCCGGUGCUUGCUGCCGGCUGUUAAGCCUCGCGAUCGCACGGCCCGACGCCGACCGUGGGACUGCGACGCGUGCCGCCUCUUUACAGGGGUGGCUGGAGACCCGUACCGAUCGGUCCGGCAUGUCGACCGCGGCGGACGGCACGCCUGUGCGCUCGAACUGCUGCCGGUCGAUCGAACGGUGCUCGCACACUACGCUUCGAGGACGCUGACGGCCAUACGGCUCCAUCCGACCCGUCUUGAAACACGGACCAAGGAGUCUAACAUGUGCGCAAGUCUCCGGGUGAUCGAAACCUGUGUGGGCACAAUGAAAGUAAAGACCGUCAUAGACGGUUGAGGUGAGAAGCGGCAUCUCGAAUGCCGUCACAUCAUCGACCGACCUAUUCUGCUCUCAGAGAGGUUUGAGUAAGAGCGCACCUGUUGGGACCCGAAAGAUGGUGAACUAUGCCUGAAUAGGGUGAAGCCAGCGGAAACACUGGUGGAAGCUCGUAGCGAUUCUGACGUGCAAAUCGAUCGUCGAAUUUGGGUAUAGCGGCGAAAGACUAAUCGAACCAUCUAGUAGCUGGUUCCCUCCGAAGUUUCCCUCAGGAUAGCUGGAGUCAAGCGAUGCAGU